AGGUGAAUAAGAAGGAGGCGACGGUGGAGGCGCGUUCAUGACCGUCGCUGAAAAGGUGGGAAGGCAGGGUGAGGGUAAACAGGUUUAGCCUUGCUUAUUUCAAUGUGCACGUUGAAACUCACAUUAUGCAUGAAUAACUAGGUAGGCAAACAUUUUAAGCCUAGCUCAGUUCCGCCCUAAAGCCCCUGUUGGCGCUGCACCACCAAGCAUGCCCGUCAACGACAUAUAUCAUCCAAAUAAAACUUCAAACAAUUACGUGCACAGCCCCAGACCUAAACUGCGGGACUCAGGUAGGUUCCCAUAGCCUUGGCAAUGUCGGCAUCUGACGCGAGGUAUGUAAGGACGAAGCGUAGCGCAAAGAAAAUGCUUAGAAUAAUGCUGAACCAUAUCCUAGCUGUCCUUUCUGCGGGCAACACACUGGGAGGGAAACAAUGUCGUGUAAGGGAUAGAAUGACAGUAUGCGCCUCUGCCAAACGCGUUGUAUUUCAUGCCCACUUACCCUGUUAGGAAGCGGGGAACCUCCAAACCCAUAGUCGCGCCUUGCUCGUUUUCAUUCGCCAUGCCUCCGUUAACGCAGGCUGAAAUGAACACAGACAGGACCAGCAAAAAUGCUCCAGGAUACAUAGAACGCAAACUAUAUUCCGUCAGAGCACACCGAGCACUGAGCGGACGCCCUGGGAGCGCCCUUCGAGUCGGCUUCAUGUCCUCCCGAAAGCAAGUUUAGAGCGACUGCCUAACCUUAGUGCUGUCAGAUUCGUUAACAGUUGUCCUUUUCUUUGGACAAGUUCACGCUAAUUCAAUGCACGUGCCACCCUUGCCAGCACUGCGAAAAGGAAAAGUGACGAGUCUUUCUGUAUAUCAGUAAAGUGUAGCAAAAAUGAUGAAGACGAAUGAAGGGACGCAUCAAUGAUACAGUGUAGAACGUGCUGGGACUUGCCUUCAGACGCGCUGCAAGCCGUACAUCAAUGUUACCUUACGUAAAGUCGCUGAUGGCAGGUGGAAGGUGGCCAACCACAUUGGCAGUAGUUCAAAAUCAAGAUUCUCAAGUUAUGCUUGCUUACAAAGCAUCUGUUCCUAAACCUGGCAGGAUGAAACCGAAUGCCCUUAACCCUCAACGUUUUCGCCUGCGGCCAACGUCUUCAGCGGCGAUUCAUGCAUCCUUUCUUCCGUAAGCCGCACAACCCACUGGACAUACCCGUCUUGUACGGAACGUGUGUACGAGUGCGCAGCAGAUCUAACAGAGCACAGCCAGGGGGUGAGCAGGAGAUGCCGUGGAACCCAACUCGAACCCCGAACCGCAUCCCUUCGGUUGAAGCUGGUGGCAAAUAAUAACACGUCUAGGGUUGCGUAUCUCUUGAGGGUUUCGGAUAGGUCUAGAUGCACGCUCGCAGACGCAGACCGAAAAGGACAACUUGUUUUACACAUUUUUCGCACGUUGAAGAUACAGCCAGCAAAUCCCAACAAUUCCAUCGAGUCACACUGCCGUACACAUACGUUUUGUCGAUGCUACCGUCGUACGACGCGACAGCACCAAAUCGCUGAUGAACUCGCUCUAGCUCCUACAUACACCUCAUCGAGUAAAACACUAAGGGAAUUUCAGCUUCGGGCUGGACGGCGAUUGCCAAGUACACCUGCUGCAACAUCCUCACACAAACCUACAUCGUCGCCUACAAGUGCGUGAUGUAAUCCUAUGACGGUCGAAAAAGCAGUGAUGUCUGAUGAUUAACCUACAGGAGGUAGACGAGGUCACCGUCUGUUCGUUAUAGAGAAUUUGUCACUAAUGGCGCUGCAGACGCACUCGUUACCCCCCCCCCGGCCGCAUGCGGAAUAUCCUUUGUUGUGCUCUGUCUUGGUCUCCGGCUAAGUGUGAAGAGGAUUCUUUCAAUCGCAUGCAGAUCCUCUGGCCUGCAAGCGCGAUCUGGGAAGCCGGCGACGUCUCCACGCCAAUUCCCGCACUCCGGCUGGAUGCGUGUAGUCCCUGCCUCCUCCCGCCACCCUACCUUCUUUACAUUGCCUUUUGCUCCUCUUCCUCCCGCCUCCAUGCCUAUGCCAGGCCAAAGAGGCCCGUUACAUACACGUCCUUUCCCCAUCUCCACGUCCGGCACUGUCUCAAGCACAGCCCGCCCCAAGCCUGACCCGUCCCACAUCCAACACCCACAUGCACCCCCAAACUCCGGCGUACGCUGCCAGCCCGAACCCUCACACCGCCACACCUCAGCCCCAGCAAAACACCUUAUGCACUUUUGCGCAUGCACUUCCCUAAACCGUACUCAGGCACAUCUUUCCCCCCUUACAGCCCACUUCCCCAGCAUAUGCCGCGUGUCCCCUAGCAGCUCGCCCACACCUGCUGCAGCCGCGGCCCCGCAAACCUCCUCCACUUCCUUCUCAAUGCAACCCGGGACCAGGGCCUCUCAGUGCUGAUGUGGCUGCCCCAGAUCCAGAUCCAGUCGUACCACAUUCAUCUUGACAUUGGGCGCCCCUCUCAGCCCAGCCACGUACUGCAGCUUACGUGGCAUGCUCUGUCCCUUGGCCACCUUGGUUUGUACGGUGGCCUCGCGCGGCCGCCAAACCUGAACGGCACGAAGAGGAGAAGGGUUGAUUGGGACAGUGCCGGGUUAAAUAGGAGAGUGGAAGAGGGGAUGAGAAAGGAGGGGUGAUCGGGGCAGUGCAGGGAUGAGGAGGAGAGGGAAAGAGAAGGCGAGAAGCAUUUUUCCCCGUUCUCCUCUGCGCUUUCCCCCUCACUCCUCCUCUCUCCUCCAUUUCUCCCUCGCCCCACAUCCCACCACCUACCCACGCAUCCACCCACCCAUGUACCCCUACAUCACCGCGGAGGCCCCGCACCCCGGAGGCCCACCUGCGUCUCGUUUUCGCGCUUGAAGUGGCUCUCCGCGGUUUGCGUGCUGUGUGUGGCCUUGCCGCGCAGGUUGGCCAGUGCCAGUGCGCGUCGCCGCAGCGCCCACACGUUCCAUUCGUAAUCCUUGUCGAUGUAUCGCUCCACAAAGUGUACGGGAGUCUGGCAGCCAAAGUCAACCUUGAGUGUGCCGGACAUGGCCUGCGGUGAGGGGGAGCGUGGGGUGAGGGAGCGUAAGGUGACAUGGCCCGUGGGAUGUGGUAGGACGCGGUGCAGUGUACAUGUACGAUAACGGACGCCACCCUGCAUUUGUGUCUCUCUCUCAAAGCCUAGGAUGCCUUCCCGCUGCGGUGCUCCCUGGGGACUUCCACCACGUGGUGUAAGUCCCCGGGUGCAUGGUGACGGUGUACCAUCCCAUCCCGCCCAGGCACCCCCAACACAAUCUGUACCUGCCCAUACCCAUACCCACCCACCCACCCAAGCACCCACUUCCUCAGCUCCAUAGGACUCCGAAACCAUCCACUCACCCCGUACCCACGCAAACCCCCAAUCAAACCCCCAGCCGCCCACACAGCGCCGACCUACCUGCAGCACCGCAUGCACGUCUGCGGAGGGUCUGGGGGGUGGAAGCCCCAGCGGCCUAGCCAGCAGCGGCUCCUUGCGCACCGCUGCGUCCACUGCCGCCAGGCAGCCGGCGGGGUCGGCCAGGAAGGCCUGCAUGUCGGCGUUGGUCGCAAAGCCGUACACCUUGUCCUGCGACGGGAAAAAAACAGCAAGGGAUUAUUGGGAGAGAGGACAAAGUUCGUCAAUUCGUCAAUUUAAAAAUCGGCGGUGUAACUGAAAAUCGCAACACAUACUUGUGACUGGGCUGCAGUCCGAAUGAAACCCAAAGAAUCCAAACCCAAACCAACACACAUGUGCACAUUUGUGAGUAGAUUACCCAAUACACACAGACACAUGCAUACAUAGAUAUUUCUCUAUGUUGUUAUCGUAUAAUGUUCCACUCGUGGUAGGCCAGAUAUCCUCGCGGUACCUGGUAGGCCAGAUAGCCCAGACGCGGAUUGGACCGCCGCAGGAGCGGGUACCGACCCGUGGGUCGUCUCGCCAGUGUGCCAGCGCAAAACCCCGCCAGCGCAAGGCCUGGCUGGAGCUGCGUGUGAGAGGUGGGGCGAAUGUACUCCAGCUCGCCACUGCUGCCACCUUCGGUGCCGCCUUGAAGCGCAUCUAGGCCCGCGAGUGUGGUUUCAUUGAGCUGCUCCGAUAAAGCGUCAACCGCUGCCGCGUUGGAGGAGGAUGACGUCUGAGUGCUGGUCGAUACCCCUGCACCCGUUGGAAGUUGGCAGUUGGCCGUUGUUACAUGUGGAAGUGGGUCGUUGUCAGUUGUCAGUUAAGGCAUGUGAAAUUGGAUCAUGGUGGUAAUAAAGGUGAGACAUUGGCUAGCGGCUGGCACAUGUUGGCCAUUGUUGCGUUCUUCGUUACGUGACGCGAGCAGCGGCGCUACGCAUGAGAGGAAAAACGCUCGCGCCAAACAAACAGGUUAGGGACAGCUGUAGAUGACAGCUGUAGCUGACAGCUGUAGCUAAGUGACUGGAUAGAUGGUGCGCAGGUCCGCAGCGGAAGGCGCAGAAAGGCGUCACUUCUCCUCUUAUUCCCUUCUUUCCCUUUCCCCAUCCUCCCUCUCCAUUCUUUCUUCUCCCUCGCUCUUCUCGUAGUAUUUAACGAAGGGGCUAUCGAAGCUACCUCGCCACGUUUGUGUGUGUUUUAGUGAUCGAGCCUCGAUGAUUUUCCAAUGGCAAUGAUGGGCUUUGUAGGUAGUGUCUCUCUGUUUCGCGUUUUCGCUUUGGCGCGCUUCCGAGUUGCCGGAGACAUUUGCUCUCACCGGGCUUACGAGGGGGCGCCUGAGCCGGGAGCAACAGACUCUUAGCUGGCAAAACCGAAAGCUCCGAAAGUUCGUCGUACAGCCGUUGUCGUACCACAAGCAUGCGCAGCUCCUGAUGCAGGCCGGUGUGCAACGCGCCGAGCCUGUGUGGCGCCGAGCCAUUGGCAGCGACAGUAGGCCAGCAGCAGCGGCGGCGGUCGGUCGGGAAAGUAAUGACAGCGGCAGAAAGCCGGAAAUGUGCAUCAAGCGCAGUAAUCAGAUCAAUUUAGCUAGUGAUUAGCGGUGAUAGAAGGCCGUCGACAGCGAUAGCCGUACGGCGUCGUAGCAGCACCACCACCAGCAGCAUAAGUCAAGGCAGUUGCAAGGCAGUUUCAAUAGGCCGCUGGCAGCGACAUUCGCGUCCCAGACGAAACCUGAUGCUUCCUUGACAACUCCUUGUCAGUUUUCCGUUAGCUCGCAACACUGAGGUACUGUACAUACAUACGCAUCAUCAUCAACAUCAUCAUGCCGUCAUCAUGGAAUGGCCCUGCGGCGCAGGCGACAGCCUCCCCUCCCGUGGGUGACCUCUGCCACCCACGCCCACGCCGUACACACCAGCUAUCCUUCCCUCCUUAGCCUCUGGCCCACAUAACGGGUUGCCAAAACCACACAGCACCCGUGCUCCUCCCCACCCGACCCCAGACCAGGACAGACCAAAUCUUACGCACCUGUCGAAGAGAGGAUACACGGUGUCCUUGCUCACCGCUGCCGAUUGCCCAACCGACUCGUGCACCUGCCGGGCAGAGGGGAAACAACAAGAAAACAUCAUGGAACAUCGUGAGACACGUAGCUCAAGAUUAGAUGUGUAAAACAGGGCGAAACUGAAACAAUGGACGCGUGUAGUCCGCUACAGUUCCCUUUAGAAUACUUCAACGCUGAAGCCCUAUCCACUCCAGACUCCAUCCCUGAAUAUACAAAAUUACACAUGCCUGCAUGCACACCCAUCCUCUUCCGCGCACCUGCACGAGUGUGUGUUCCAGCUCCGCAUCAAGCAGCUGAGCUGCCUCAAGACCCUCCUGCAGGUCGGCCUGCACGGGAAACAACAGCAUCAACAUCAACAUCAACAUCAACAUCAAUAUCAGGAUCAACAUUAACAGCAUCAACAGCCGGGCACGCCUAUCCAAAUUUCCUUUCGAUCUGAUUUUUUACUUUGCGAGUUUCUCCAACCGUAAAAAAAGCCUUUUGGCAACACACUUUUCAGACGCCCUUCUGGAACUCCGUCGGAUGGGCGGUUUGACCUGGCAAGCAGGGUAGCUUGCGACGGGGGUUCAGUUCCCGCACCCCGACCGCGUCAAGAAGACACACACAGUUGUGUAAAGUGUAUAGGCCGUCGGACGCGUCAUCCGGAGCAUCGCCGGAUGUGUUAACCGUGUUACCCAGAGGAUGAGAUGGAGAACGUAGGAUGGUUAUGGUGUGGUGAAGUGAGGGCGCGAGCGACCCGUGGGUCACAUGGAUGGCGCCGUCGACAAUGCGCUCGAUGAUUGUCGCCCAAGGACUUGCUCCAUGAAACGUCCCGCUAUGCCCCGGGAUAUACGCCUGGCGUUACGGCGGACAUGCGGCCUCCAUGAAGCCACAGCAAUGUAACGCUGUAAGAUCUGGGCUCAGGUUUCUUCAGGACCUGUCUCAUCCAUCGCAUUCACGUGCUCGGUAGAUUAGCCCAACCCAGCUUGGCUAGUGUUGCGCUUAUCCCUCCUCAGGUCCCAAGCUCCCGCAAAUGCCGUACAAUACAGUACAGUACGACACGGUACUCACAUGCAGCGACUCGUACAGCUGCAGGGCCUGGCCGCGAUUGAGAACCUCCGCGUGAAGCAGCGCGCGCCGCAGCUCCUCCUCACCACCCGCAGUCGCCGCCGAUGUAACAGCAGCGGCUGCAGGCCCGUCGCCGUCUGCGGGAGGCGGCGGCAGCUUGGCCACCAUCGCAUGCAGUUUGGCCAUCUGUUCCGUUACCUCGGUCCGGCACCUGGUAGCAUAGGUUAUUGGCCGGUUAGAAUGUCAGGGCAUAGCAGUACCCAAAGCCUCUGUCCUACACGGGGCCUGGGAUGAGAUUCCGACGAAACUCAUAGCCAUCCCCCGUCGCUCAAGCCGCAACAGCACCGGCCAACCCCCACCCCAUCACACCACCUCAACCCCGCGAUCGCGCUGCAAUCGCGAUACAUUGCAAGCGACGGCGCUAAAACCCUAUCGCCCUCUCCCCAUAAGGUGUAUCGGUCGUUCACCACCCUCUCCCCUACACCGCACCCGGCCCCCUCCGUCGCAACCCCCUUCAGGUCCGCACCUGUUCAGGUCCCGUAGCAGGCGUUGCGCCUGCGGCAGGUACGACGCUGCCGCCGCCGGCAGUGCAGUGCCGCCCUGUCCCAG
rnacentral:lncRNA from 1 species